rnacentral:rRNA from 1 species
AACGAACGCUGGCGGCAGGCUUAACACAUGCAAGUCGAACGCCCCGCAAGGGGAGUGGCAGACGGGUGAGUAACGCGUGGGAAUAUGCCCAGUUCUACGGAAUAGCCGCGGGAAACUGGGAGUAAUACCGUAUGUGCCCUACGGGGGAAAGAUUUAUCGGCAAUGGAUUAGCCCGCGUUGGAUUAGGUAGUUGGUGGGGUAAUGGCCUACCAAGCCGACGAUCCUUAGCUGGUCUGAGAGGAUGAUCAGCCACACUGGGACUGAGACACGGCCCAGACUCCUACGGGGGGCAGCAGUGGGGAAUAUUGGACAAUGGGCGCAAGCCUGAUCCAGCCAUGCCGCGUGAGUGAUGAAGGCCUUAGGGUUGUAAAGCUCUUUCACCGAUGAAGAUAAUGACGGUAGUCGGAGAAGAAGCCCCGGCUAACUUCGUGCCAGCAGCCGCCGCGGUAA